rnacentral:snRNA from 1 species
AGAACUCUCCUUCUAAUACAG